GGAGGCACAGGUGUACUAUGGUGGCUGUAUGCAAAGCAAAGAAGGUCUCCCAAAGAAACUGUUACUCCUGAGCAGCUUCAGAUAGCUGAAGACAAUCUUCGGGCCCUCCUCAUUUAUGCCAUUUCAGCUACAGUGUUCACAGUGAUCUUAUUCCUGAUAAUGUUGGUUAUGCGCAAACGUGUUGCUCUUACCAUCGCCUUGUUCCACGUAGCUGGCAAGGUCUUCAUUCACUUGCCACUGCUAGUCUUCCAACCCUUCUGGACUUUCUUUGCUCUUGUCUUGUUUUGGGUGUACUGGAUCAUGACACUUCUUUUUCUUGGCACUACCGUCCUGUUCAGAAUGAGCAAGGCUUUGUGGAGUUCAAAAUUUCUGGGCCUCUGCAGUACAUGUGGUGGUACCAUGUGGUGGGCCUGAUUUGGAUCAGUGAAUUUAUUCUAGCAUGUCAGCAGAUGACAGUGGCAGGAGCUGUGGUAACAUACUAUUUUACUAGGGAUAAAAGGAAUUUGCCAUUUACACCUAUUUUGGCAUCAGUAAAUCGCCUUAUUCGUUACCACCUAGGUACGGUGGCAAAAGGAUCUUUCAUUAUCACAUUAGUCAAAAUUCCGCGAAUGAUCCUUAUGUAUAUUCACAGUCAGCUCAAAGGAAAG
rnacentral:lncRNA from 1 species